UGGGGAAUAUUGCGCAAUGGGCGGAAGCCUGACGCAGCGACGCCGCGUGGGGGAUGACGGCCUUCGGGUUGUAAACCUCUUUCAGCUCCGACGAAGCGAGAGUGACGGUAGGGGCAGAAGAAGCACCGGCCAACUACGUGCCAGCAGCCGCGGUAAUACGUAGGGUGCAAGCGUUGUCCGGAAUUAUUGGGCGUAAAGAGCUCGUAGGCGGUCUGUCGCGUCGGCUGUGAAAACCCGGAGCUCAACUCCGGGCCUGCAGUCGAUACGGGCAGACUGGAGUUCGGCAGGGGAGACUGGAAUUCCUGGUGUAGCGGUGAAAUGCGCAGAUAUCAGGAGGAACACCGGUGGCGAAGGCGGGUCUCUGGGCCGAUACUGACGCUGAGGAGCGAAAGCGUGGGGAGCGAACAGGAUUAGAUACC
rnacentral:rRNA from 1 species